rnacentral:rRNA from 1 species
GAGUUUGAUCGUGGCUCAGAGCGAACGCUGGCGGCAUGCUUAACACAUGCAAGUCGCACGGUCAGCAAUGGCAGUGGCGGACGGGUGAGUAACACGUAGGAAUCUAUCUCUGGGUGGGGGACAACAGUGGGAAACUACUGCUAAUACCGCAUGAUACCUGAGGGUCAAAGGCGUAAGUCGCCUGGAGAGGAGCCUGCGUCUGAUUAACUUGUUGGUGGGUAAAGGCCUACCAAGGCUACGAUCAGUAGCUGGUCUGAGAGGAUGAUCAGCCACAUUGGGACUGAGACACGGCCCAAACUCCUACGGGAGGCAGCAGUGGGGAAUAUUGGACAAUGGGCGAAAGCCUGAUCCAGCAAUGCCGCGUGUGUGAAGAAGGUCUUCGGAUUGUAAAGCACUUUUGGCAGGGACGAUGAUGACGGUACCUGCAGAAUAAGCCCGGCUAACUUCGUGCCAGCCGCCGCUGUAAU